UAGGAUAUGUGACACUGGACCACAAAAACCAGUCAUAAGUCGCACGGGUAUAGUAUUUGUAGUAGCCAACAUUUUGACCCAUACAUUGUAUGGGUCAAAAUUAUAGAUUUUUCUUUUAUGCCAAAAAUCAUUAGGAUAUUAAGUAAAGAUCAUGUUCCAUGAAGAUAUUUUGUAAAUUUCCUACCGUAAAUAUAUCAAAAAUGUAUUUUUGUGAGCGGAUAUGCAUUGCUAAGGACAUCAUUUGGACAACUUUAAAGGCGAUUUUCUCAAUAUUUAGAUUUUUUGCACCCUCAGAUUCCAGAUUUUUUUUUAUUCAGCUUUCAGAUGAUGUAUACAUUUCAAAUUGACCCUUAUGACUGGUUUUGUGGUCCAGGGUCACAUAUUAUGUAAACACAAUUUUUGUUAAACACUUUUUUGUUUUUUUUUGUUUUUUUGCAAAAAUUCAUAAAGGAUAAUUGGUACCAAGAACCCAAAAGUCACAGACAUCCUGAUUUUUUUUUUUUUUUUUUUUUUUUUUGAAGGCACAGAUGGGUUUAUUAUUUUUCCAUUUGGCUAACAUCUUUUUUUUAUAUAAAUAAAAACAUAAAUCAAAUAGGCCUAUGACUUCAGGUUAAUGUCAUGGAACAGAAGACGUAAUCUGUCAUUGACACCAUUGAAACAACAUUUGUAAUGCGUAAUACAUUUCAGAUUAAACAUAGUUAAACACAGACUGAAAAAGCGUACAGAUAACAUAUCUUUGAAAUGCCAAAAACAAUACGAUGAUAACAUGUCCAUGUUAUUUCAAGGUUUGCUGAUACUGAUGCAAACUGCCUUUCAUCAUCAUUAAGACAACUUCGAACUAUUAGUGAGAAGAGCAAUAUACUUCUGUAAUAUUAAAAAAAAAACCUCUGACCUACUUUUUCAUUUUGUUGAGACUAAUGGAAUUAGAUGAGGGAUUCUAAAGAUCAUCAACUGAAUUAAUUUCUGUGAACAUAAGGCAGAUUUCAGUAAUUUAACAUAUAAUUUUGUCAAAAGUGGGAAACAAAUUCUCACAGUUUCUCAGUUUUAGCAAAGCAAUAAAAUGAGCACAAUAAUAUAAUACAAAUAAACUGUUGAAAUAACAGUUAAUUGAAAAGUAUGCAAUGAAAGUGAAUGGUGACUGAGGCUGCUAGUUCUUUCUAAUCAUAAUCAUCUUUAUCAUUAUGUUCUUCCAUUACAAAAAAUCAGCAUCAAGUUCAUACUAAAGUAUACAGAUGAUUCAAAAGGGAUUCUCAUUUCAGGAGUCGUGUCAUAUUCGAACAGCAGUGGUGCACAUAGCCCCAAAAAGGCUGCUCCAAAUUCACCAUAUGUGGGAACUGGUUACAUGAAACACGAGGACAAUGGCCUUGAAGAUGAAGGCAUUCUGAUACAAGAACUGUGUUUAGACAACCGCAGUUCUAAGAUGACGAAAUAAUGUCCACUUCACAUCCACGAAAAUCAUGUCACCCUAUCACCAGCAGAGGUCAUAAUCACC